CAAAGACUCUCGGCGGUCUCGGUUCUCUGCCUCUCGUGGACAGUGCGUUCAGCAGUACACUGGCUGCAGAUACCACCGAGGGCCCACCUGGGCGCACCUUGCUUCUCCUGGCACACUCGCUGGGUACUGUUCUCCCGGACUUUCCUCUCCGCCGCCGCGGCCUGCUCUUCCGACCACUCAACAUUGUCCCUGGGAAAAUCAAACGGGCAGCUUAGAGGCCUCACGUUCCAGCCGCGGGCAGGCACCUGAAGUUAUUUUUCUGCAGAAAUUUGGAAGACGUGACUCUGAGUCCUCUGUGCUACCAGACUUCACGCUGGACUGUAUCUUCAGCAAGCAAAACUUUUCAGGGGAGUUAAGGGUCCCUCUGCUGGUGAGCUGGAAGAGCUCUUCUAGCUGGGUGGCAUGGGUUCAAAGCCUGGAAAGGUUAACAACUCUCAGUCUGGAUCACUGUCUUGGGUGUCAACCUGGGACGUGGGUAAUUAUUUCAUGCUUUUCUUUAAGUUCCAGUCAGUGGAAAUUCCGGUCUGUGUAAGCAUGUGCUCUGGAACUGAAAGUGGGGGAAGGGACCCCGGUGUCCUGAUUUGCUCUCCUUAAAGUUUCACAGAACAUGUAGCAGGCUAGAUAAUUGAAUAAGCUGAUUUAACAAAUUUAAA